rnacentral:misc_RNA from 1 species
AUUACUUAUACACCGUCUUAUUUUAAACAAAAAACUUUUGAAUCAAAUCUAUUUUUUAAUUUUAUUAAAACUUUCAACAACGGAUCUCUUGGUUCUCGCAUCGAUGAAGAACGCAGCGAAAUGCGAUACGUAAUACGAAUUGCAGCUCUCGGAAUCAUCGAAUCUUUGAACGCACAUUGCACCAUUAGGUAUUCCUAAUGGUAUGCUUGUUUGAGCGAAUACUUCUCUAAUCCUUCGGAUUGUAUUGUGUUCCAACUAAAAAAAUUCAAAACAUACUUUACUACUUAGUAUGCUUUUCAAUCUUUUUUUCCUCAAAUCAAGUAGGACUACCC